GGUGUGAAUAUUGCACAAUGGGCGCAAGCCUGAUGCAGCAACGCCGCGUGAAUGAUGAAGGCCUUCGGGUCGUAAAGUUCUGUCCUAAGGGAAGAAUACAGUGACGGUACCUUAGGAGGAAGCCCCGGCUAACUACGUGCCAGCACCCGCGGUAAA
rnacentral:rRNA from 1 species